GGUGGGUUGUCCGAGCGGCCUAAGGAGCCAGUCUUGAAAACUGGUGAACAGCAAUGUUCCCUGGGUUCGAAUCCCAGACCCACCG
rnacentral:tRNA from 1 species